CCAGGUGCCUUUGGAAGCCAGUUGCCCAGCCAGGCCCAGCUUCCUGGGUUCUCGUUCCUUGAGCUUGCCUCUCCUUGGGGACUGGGGCUGCACCACACAAGGGUCCCCAGGGCCCCCAGGUGGGCCUUGUACCCCCAGCUCUGGCAGCGCCCCCAGGAUUGAACGUGGGGAGCCCCAGGGCAGAAGCGAGAAGGUGUGGGGUUUCUUCUCCAAGGGGAAGCAGCUCCUCAGGAGGCUGGGCUCUGGGAAGAAGGAGUGAAGCUGUGGCCCAUCCUGCAGGCAGAAGAGGCCCUGAGAGGCCCCCAGAUCACUGUCUCUGCUGAGCAGGGAAGGCUCAGACUGGGCCCAGAGCCCCCGUUCUUCUGCGUUAACACUGUGGCAUUCAGAGGGAAUCAAAGAGCCUUGGUGAAGGUCAGAGCUAAAUGGCUCCUUAAGGAUGAACUCUCUAGAGAAGCACCUUCCUCCUACAGGAGGGGAAACUGAGCCCACAGUGAGUAUGUAACUUGACCAAGGUCACUGAGCCAGGACUGGACCCAGGACCCUCGCGUCCUGGUCCACCCACCUCGUCUACUAGUGUCCCACAGUGCUGCGCUAGUCCCUUCUGCCACCCUUCCCAGUCCCAGGACGGGCCCUGGAGGGAGAAAGGAGCCUGUGCCCCCUGAUGGCUCUGGCUGUCCUGAUCCUGUCUUCCCUCCCCUGAAGGAAAGUUUGCACUGGAUUUUAUUGGAGCCCCAUCUCCCCAGCGGGCAGGCGGGCGGAGCCUGUAUAUAUGUAUAUACUCAGUGCCUCAGUUCAGCUUCCUCCACCUCGCUUCCACUGCACAGGCCCAGGAAGGAGAAAGGCCAAGCCAAAGUGGGCCCCACCCUGCCCCCGUCGUGCUCCAUCCUUCCCUGCCGGGGCCUGCUGGCCCCUGUAAGGUCCCGCCCCCAAAGACCCUGGGGCCAGCGGGGCCGAAAGCGGAGUUGGGUUUGCCUUAUUUUGCUCAUUGGAUUCAAGUUCUUUUGCAUAGUUUUCUUCUAACCCCUGUUGGAGUCCAGGGGCUGGAGAAAAGGACAGAUUUAUGCAGCUAUUUUCAUACAUUCCCUGUUCAGAGUGGGGUAGGGGUUCUCCGCCGUUACCCGAUCCACUCCAUCCCCCACCCUCUGAGGGGUGAGUGUGUCUUUGCAUGUUUC
rnacentral:lncRNA from 10 species